rnacentral:SRP_RNA from 16 species
GAGCGUGCCCGGGCCAAGGAGCAGCGGGCCCGGGACAGGCUGGAAAAGAAGCAAGAGGAGGCCCGCAAUGUCGAGCAGCCCAUAGAACGCGUCCCUCACGGAACACGAAGCAGGCGCCGCGACAAUAGUGU